GAGUUUGAUGCCUUCAAAAUGUUCUUCAAAGUGGAGAUGGGAGUUUCAGGCUGGAUGUUGACUCUUACGUCGUACAACACGUGUAAUGGAGCAGGCCUGAAAUCUGUGAAGUUGUUAGUCUUCUCUUCUUCAAUCUUUGUGUUGUUCUGAUCAGCCAUUGUCGCAGUUCCUGCAGAUGCUUCACCAUCUUCUGCAACCUCUUCACCACUCAUCUCAAUUUCUUGUAUUGCAUCCAUAUGUGACUUAAUGCACUCAAAUAC